UAAGGAAUAUUGGACAAUGGUCGCAUGACUGAUCCAGCCAUGCCGCGUGCAGGAAGACGGCCCUAUGGGUUGUAAACUGCUUUUGUACCAGAGAAAACCUAUCUACGUGUAGAUAGCUGAUAGUAUGGUAAGAAUAAGCAUCGGCUAACUUCGUGCCAGCAGCCGCGGUAAGACGAAGGAUGCAAGCGUUAUCCGGAUUCAUUGGGUUUAAAGGGUGCGUAGGCGGGCUUGUAAGUCAGUGGUGAAAUCUCUCAGCUUAACUGAGAAACUGCCAUUGNUACUGCAGGCCUAGAGUAUAGAUGACGUUGGCGGAAUAUGACAUGUAGUGGUGAAAUACUUAGAUAUGUCAUAGAACACCGAUUGCGAAGGCAGCUAACGAAACUAUAACUGACGCUGAGGCACGAAAGUGCGGGGAUCAAACA
rnacentral:rRNA from 1 species